UACGUAGGGUGCGAGCGUUGUCCGGAAUUAUUGGGCGUAAAGAGCUCGUAGGCGGCUUGUCACGUCGAUUGUGAAAGCCCGAGGCUUAACCUCGGGUCUGCAGUCGAUACGGGGUAGCUAGAGUGUGGUAGGGGGAGAUCGGAAUUCCUGGUGUAGCGGUGAAAUGCGCAGAUAUCAGGAGGAACACCGGUGGCGAAGGCGGAUCUCUGGGCCAUUACUGACGCUGAGGAGCGAAAGCGUGGGGAGCGAACAGG
rnacentral:rRNA from 1 species